AGAUUGAACGCUGGCGGCAUGCCUUACACAUGCAAGUCGAACGGCAGCACGGGGGCAACCCUGGUGGCGAGUGGCGAACGGGUGAGUAACAUAUCGGAACGUGCCCUGGAGUGGGGGAUAACUAGUCGAAAGACUAGCUAAUACCGCAUACGAUCUACGGAUGAAAGUGGGGGAUCGCAAGACCUCAUGCUCGUGGAGCGGCCGAUAUCUGAUUAGCUAGUUGGUGGGGUAAAGCCUACCAAGGCAUCGAUCAGUAGCUGGUCUGAGAGGACGACCAGCCACACUGGGACUGAGACACGGCCCAGACUCCGUACGGGAGCAGCAGUGGGGAAUUUGGACAAGUGGGCGCAAGCCUGACUCCAGCAAUGCCGCGUGAGUGAAGAAC
rnacentral:rRNA from 1 species